rnacentral:rRNA from 1 species
CCGGCCGAGUUGUAAUUUACAGAGGAUGCUUUGGAUUCUGUCUGGUGUAAAGUCCUUUGGAACAGGGCGCCGUGGAGGAUGAAAGUUCCGUACGCAUCAGAUCCAGUUUCCAUGUAAAGCUCCUUCAAAGAGUCGAGUUGUUUGGGAAUGCAGCUCUAAGUGGGAGGUAAAUUUCUUCCAAAGCUAAAUACCGGCUAGAGACCGAUAGCGCACAAGUAGAGUGAUCGAAAGAUGAAAAGCACUUUGAAAAGAGAGUUAAAAAGCACGUGAAAUUGUUGAAAGGGAAGCUUAUGUCAUCAGACUUGACGCUGAAGUUCAGCCUUUUGGUGUAUUCUUUGGUAUCAGGCUAGCAUCAAUUUGAACAGCUGGAUAAAAGCUUCGGGAAUGUAGCUCUUCGGAGUGUUAUAGCCUGAUGCAGAAUGCGGCUUGUUCAGAUUGAGGUCCGCUUCUGAGGAUGCUGGCGUA